rnacentral:rRNA from 1 species
GCCCAGACUCCUACGGGAGGCAGCAGUGAGGAAUAUUGGUCAAUGGCCGCAGGGCUGAACCAGCCAAGUCGCGUGAGGGAUGACGGUCCUAUGGAUUGUAAACCUCUUUUGUCAGGGAGCAAAGGGCGCCACGUGUGGCGUUUUGCGAGUACCUGAAGAAAAAGCAUCGGCUAACUCCGUGCCAGCAGCCGCGGUAAUACGGGGGAUGCGAGCGUUAUCCGGAUUUAUUGGGUUUAAAGGGUGCGCAGGCGGAAGAUCAAGUCAGCGUUAAAAUUGAGAGGCUCAACCUCUUCGAGCCGUUGAAACUGGUUUUCUUGAGUGAGUGAGAAGUAUGCGGAAUGCGUGGUGUAGCGGUGAAAUGCAUAGAUAUCACGCAGAACUCCGAUUGCGAAGGCAGCAUACCGGCGCCCGACUGACGCUGAGGCACGAAAGCGUGGGGAUCGAACAGGAUUAGAUACCCCCGUA